CGGCAUGCCUAAGACAUGCAAGUCGAACGAGAGGGCCCAUGAAGUUGACGGAAUAUUGGAGUGCUUGCACAAAGAUAGGAAGUCAACGGAUUGGAUUUCCCUCGAGUGGCAAACGGGUGAGUAACACAUGGGUAACAUGCCUCUAAGUUGGGGAUAACAGUUGGAAACGACUGAUAAUACCGAAUAAGCUCUACGGAGUAAAGAUGCCUUUAAAGCAUCGCUUUGAGAUUGGCCUGUGGCGUAUUAGCUAGUUGGUGGGGUAAUGGCCUACCAAGGCAACGAUGCGUAGCCGAACUGAGAGGUUAAUCGGCCACACUGGGACUGAGACACGGCCCAGACUCCUACGGGAGACAGCAGUUAGGAAUAUUCGUCAAUGGGGGAAACCCUGAACGAGCAAUGCCGCGUGAACGAUGACGGCCCUAUGGGUUGUAAAGUUCUGUUGUUUGGAAAGAACUGUGAGAUUAGGAAAUGAGUCUCACUUGACGGUACCAUUCAAGAAAGCCACGGCUAACUACGUGCCAGCAGCGGC
rnacentral:rRNA from 1 species